GGUGAGGUAACGGCUCACCUAGGCGACGAUCCCUAGCUGGUCUGAGAGGAUGAUCAGCCACACUGGAACUGAGACACGGUCCAGACUCCUACGGGAGGCAGCAGUGGGGAAUAUUGCACAAUGGGCGCAAGCCUGAUGCAGCCAUGCCGCGUGUAUGAAGAAGGCCUUCGGGUUGUAAAGUACUUUCAGCGGGGAGGAAGGUG
rnacentral:rRNA from 1 species